AACGAACGCUGGCGGCAUGCCUAAUACAUGCAAGUCGAACGAUCACUUCGGUGGUAGUGGCGCACGGGUGCGUAACGCGUGGGAAUCUGCCCUAGGGUUCGGAAUAACGUCGGGAAACUGACGCUAAUACCGGAUGAUGACGUAAGUCCAAAGAUUUAUCGCCCAGGGAUGAGCCCGCGUAGGAUUAGCUAGUUGGUGGGGUAAAGGCCUACCAAGGCGACGAUCCUUAGCUGGUCUGAGAGGAUGAUCAGCCACACUGGGACUGAGACACGGCCCAGACUCCUACGGGAGGCAGCAGUAGGGAAUAUUGGACAAUGGGGGCAACCCUGAUCCAGCAAUGCCGCGUGAGUGAUGAAGGCCUUAGGGUUGUAAAGCUCUUUUACCCGGGAUGAUAAUGACAGUACCGGGAGAAUAAGCCCCGGCUAACUCCGUGCCAGCCGCCGCUGUAA
rnacentral:rRNA from 1 species